ensembl:snRNA U6 U6 spliceosomal RNA
GUGCUCGCUUCAGCAGCACAUAAACUAAAAUUGGAACGAUACAGAGAAGAUUAGCAUGGCCCCUACGCAAGGAUGACACACAAAUUCGUGAGGCAUUCCAUAUUUAA